UGAGGAACAUGACCUUCGGCGGGGGAUAGCCGGCCCAACGGCCGGGUAAUACCGCGUACGACCACAUGGGGACAUCCCUGAGUGGUGAAAGCAGCAAUGCGCCGAUGGAGUGCCUCGCGGCCUAUCAGCUAGUUGGUGAGGUAACGGCUCACCAAGGCAACGAUGCGUAGCCGACCUGAGAGGGUGAUCGGCCACAUUGGAACUGAGACACGGUCCAGACCUNUACGGGAG
rnacentral:rRNA from 1 species